UACGGAGGGUGCAAGCAUUAAUCGGAAUUAUUGGGCGUAAAGGGCGCGUAGGCGGAUGUAAAAGUCAGAUGUGAAAUUCCGGAGCUCAAUUUCGGAGCUGCAUUUGAAACUAUAAAUCUCGAGGAUUGGCGGAGAGAACGGAAUUCCACGUGUAGCGGUGAAAUGCGUAGAUAUGUGGAAGAACACCGGUGGCGAAAGCGGUUCUCUAGCUUAUACCUGACGCUGAGGCGCGAGAGCAAGGGGAGCAAACAGG
rnacentral:rRNA from 1 species